rnacentral:rRNA from 1 species
UGGGGAAUUUUGCACAAUGGGGGAAACCCUGAUGCAGCGACGCCGCGUGAUUUAGAAGGCCUUCGGGUUGUAAAAAUCUUUUAUAUGGGAAGAAAAUGACAGUACCAUAAGAAUAAGGUCCGGCUAAAUACGUGCCAGCAGCCGCGGUAAUACGUAUGGACCGAGCGUUGUCCGGAAUCAUUGGGCGUAAAGGGUACGUAGGCGGUCUUUUAAGUUAGAAGUGAAAUAAUAUAGCUCAACUAUAUACAGCUUUUAAAACUGAAAGACUUGAGAGAUGGAAGGGAAAGUGGAAUUCCUAGUGUAGCGGUGAAAUGCGCAGAUAUUAGGAAGAAUACCGGUGGCGAAGGCGACUUUCUGGUCAUCAUCUGACGCUGAGGUACGAAAGCGUGGGUAGCAAACAGG